CUCGCUUUUGAACCGCGGGUGCUCGUUGCUGCGCAACCGCGAGGCCGCUGGGGGCGGAGCUGAGUAGGGCGGGACAAGAAAGGAGGUUCAAACAUUUGGUUCACCCGAGGAAAGUGGUUCAGUUUGUUUCUGGAGUUGUUGGAUUUGUUGGGAUCAAAGCCCCUCUGGCAUCCCCAACAAGCCAGGCUCUGCCGCCAGCUCUCAGUCAGCUUGUUAAACAGAGAAAAUGGUGACAGGUACAGAAAGGAGACAUGUUCAACGUAAUCACAGGGAAGCACGGAAGCAGGGUCAGAGCCGGCUGUAACUGACCAGAAACACCCACAUCUACACAUCGUCUCCACCUACCAAACGAGAGAACAAAAUUGUGCUUUCAUCCUCGCCACCCCCGUGGGAGUCCACAAAUACAUGUGUGUGUGUGAGUAUGCUCAACCCUUACAAAA